AGCGAACGCUGGCGGCAGGCUUAACACAUGCAAGUCGAGCGGGCACUUCGGUGUCAGCGGCAGACGGGUGAGUAACACGUGGGAACGUACCCUUCGGUUCGGAAUAACGCUGGGAAACUAGCGCUAAUACCGGAUACGCCCUUUUGGGGAAAGGUUUACUGCCGAAGGAUCGGCCCGCGUCUGAUUAGCUAGUUGGUGGGGUAAUGGCCUACCAAGGCGACGAUCAGUAGCUGGUCUGAGAGGAUGAUCAGCCACACUGGGACUGAGACACGGCCCAGACUCCUACGGGAGGCAGCAGUGGGGAAUAUUGGACAAGGGGCGCAAGCCUGAUCCAGCCAUGCCGCGUGAGUGAUGAAGGCCUUAGGGUUGUAAAGCUCUUUUGUCCGGGACGAUAAUGACGGUACCGGAAGAAUAAGCCCCGGCUAACUUCGUG
rnacentral:rRNA from 1 species